UGCACAGGUGGCUCGUAUUACAUUUCUGCAGUGUCAGGCGGGGUCUAUCAAUCUCUGGAUAGAGGAAGGCCUUUCACGCAGUAAAGAGACGCGCUGGGCCUGGUCACCAUGGGAGAACCACACUAUGCCCGCCAGCCUGGUGCCCAGCAGGCAAACCAGGUGGUAACAAGACCAACAUGGACUUCCCUCCAUGUGGCAUGUCAGCAAAACGUGAAGAAAUGAAGACUUGGAUUUGAGGUGUCUGUGGCAGAGGACGUUGGCGUGACUGUGGAAGGCCAGUGCCUGCGUGGCACGUGUGGUCCUGCCUCGCACUUCUGAUGCUAGCAGGUCUGCCUUUUCGUAAAAACUCUCUUUCCUGCAGUUUGGUGUUUCGGGGGGAAUGAGAUGGGACCCAUCUGUGCAAUCUGCACCUGACACCUGAAGCCCAGCGUAACUUCCCAAGGUGACAGCUUCAGGAUUCAUCAAAGCUGGAGCUGAGAAACCAGGAAGCCGGUUUACUCUGAAGAAUUCUGAAGCCAUGCAAAGUGUUUGUGAAAAGUGCAGAACAAUUCCAGUGACUUCUAUAGCAUCAACACAAUCAUUGCUGCAAUAUUAAAAUUUCAAGUCUUUGAGCAACUAAACCCACAGGAGAAAUAUGAAAUGUACACGUUGAUCCAACAGCUGAUUUGUAACUAAAGUCACUCUUGUAAGUUUAGGCAGGAAAGGAACUCUUUCUUUAUGUCCACAUUGGGACCAGUCGAACACAGAAGCACCAUCUUCAGAUGUCGCAGUGCACGGCUGGACUGUCCCUGCCUUCCCAGUGCGGGGCCUUGAGAGGCAUCCCAGUGGGUUCUGUGGGCCCCAACACACCAGGCAGAAGCCACCUCUCCUGGGCAGGGCCAUCUAUCCUGCCCCACACAAAGGAACUGACUCAGAUCUGCAACAGAGGGGACACAGGGCAUGUUCUGGAAAGGUGCCCAGUGUGACCCCAGCUGGGGUCUGGAACUUACGGGGUCCAAAAAGAGUCACCACCCAGGGAGCAGUGAGUACACGGGGGACGGGUGGGGGGAUUCUGGGCACUCGCUGUGCAUUCAUUUAACUCAUCACCGGCAGCUUGGAAACAAAGGAGGGAGGGCGGCCUUGCUGGGCCUGGGGAAGAGCUUCUGGGACACCAUGCUGGCCAGAGAAACAUGGCAGUGACACACGGAGAACUGUGAAGAAGGGCCCUCCUUCCCUGGCCCCACUUCUUCACGAAGCCCCCAGCCAGGUGCAAAUCAGCCCAGAGAAGGCACCUGUGCCAGCAAGGCCUUGUCCCCUGCACCUGGUCAGCUCUGCGCAGUGGAGAUUGGCGGCAAGCAUUGCGCCUUCAAGCAUUGCACCUUCAAGCAUUGCACCUUCACGGGGCUGGGGCCGGAUCGGCCCACAAUCCCAGGAUCUAGAUGGAGGGUGGGCACCUGCUGGGAAGAGAAUGGAGAAGGCAGUGGGGCUCCCCCGGCCUCCCGCGGCACUCAGGGCCAAGGAAUGGCUCUUUUCCAGCCAGGGCAUGGGUAGAGGCCACCUGCGUUCACCUCAGAGUAAGCGAGGUUAGAAGGGGGCUUCUUCCCAUGACAGCUGAGCGAACGGGGGACCCCAGACAUGCGAACACUCUGUUCCCUUCACAUCCCAGGCACACCCCACACAAACUGGGCAAGUCUAUUUUAUAACAAUAAAUAUGAUUGUUUCUUCUUCGUGUCCACAUUGAUGUCCAUUGGCCACAGCUCAGGCUCACUUAUUUUGUAUGGGAAGCAACAAGGAUUCAUUUUCUAAAGACUCAGCUCAGCUCAGCUGAGGGGGAAGCUCAGGUGCUCAUCAUUCAAGUCCAUAUGGCUUUUGCAGCCACCGCAUCAGGCAAUGCCAUGGGCCCCCAUGUAGAUCUGCAGUCCCCACUAAGGAGGCAACGACGCAGUGCCCUGACCAUGGGGAGCUCAUUCGGCCACAGCACUGGGGCUUCGGGGCUGCUCUAAGGAGGCCUAGAGCACGCCGCCCCCGCCUGUCCAGACCCAGGCCUUGCAGGUACGCACAGUGCCAGCGUGCCGAGCCCCCGCACUCACAAGGCCAGUGCUCACGGCUGCACACCAAGUCCUUGCCGGCUGGCAUUGCUGUUUCUGAACACACUGUCAGGAAGGCUCCCUAGGCAGUGUAGCCAGCUGCCUGGCUUGAAGCGACGGCCCGAUGGGGAGAGCUUGGGCCACCUGCACCCUGUGCUUCCUGGCUGGGUGUCCAGGAGGAUCAUGGUGCUGGGCUGAGUCCUGCCACACACAGGCAGAGCUGGUGUCCUUCGAGUUGUGAGGAACCCGAGUCACCGCCAGGAGGGUUGUGGAAGACGUUGGGAAGACCUGGGAGGGCUGCACCUUUGUGAACACAUGGAGCCCUGGGGAUGGGCUGAGCUGGGCUCUGCAGACCCUGAGGGCCUGUGCACAUGGGCAGGGCCCUGACAAAAGGGAGGUGGUGCAGCCUGGCUUCUGGAGGCUGAGGCAGCCAUCGGGAUUAGAGAGCACAGCAGUCACAGACGGUGACAGGACAGAGCAGGAGAGAAAGUGGGGCCAGGGACAAGGCUUCACAGGGAAGCCAGAGGCAGCCUCAGUUCCGUGAGUGCCCGUGGGAAAUGAGACUUUCUGGUUGAAUUAAUAGCACUUUAGGAAGGUCAUUUAGCCAUCCUGAAGUCAUUUUGAGGAGGGAGUGAUUAUGAACCUGGACACUCUAGGGCACUUCCAUGGUUAGCCUUGUAGGGAGUGCACAGAUGUUACUGGAGUAUGAGCCUUGGCUGCUGCAGAGCUCCCUGAACACCAGAGCUCUUCUUCCUUGAUUGAGGCUGAGUCUCCAAUCGUGAAAAUCGAAUGUGUGUGCUAAGUCUCUCUCAUAUUCUCUUUGGAAGUAGAGUGGAAGAGUUUGUGCAAAGAAAAACGUUGCCAAACACAAUAAUUGUGUGGAUUUGCAAUAGAAAUGUUCCUUUUUGCCCCAGGUUGUGGGCCCAUCUGCUCUAUAUCUGCUUGCCUCUGUCAGUUUAGAGUCCUGGAGGUCUAUACAAUAGUGGUUCGUGUCAUCGUGGGCUCUGCUGCCUUCCGAUCAUCACAGCAGGCUCCCAGCCCAGUCGCUGGAUGGGGGAGGGUGGGGACAUGAUUGAUAAUUGAGAUCCCAGAGGAGGCUUGGUUUCUAGAGCAAGCCCUCAAGUCCCCGUGGAGAACCCAGGAGCGGACCCAUUGCAGUGCGCACGAUGGAUCUGAAAAGGGCCUGGGUGGGGGAUCCCUUGGGCCAGAAACACUUCUGGUUUCCCUGGAACAAAGGCCUUGCUGCUGGGCUCACAGACUAUCAGUCAGAGAGUGGGAGGCGUUGGAAAGACCCGGCGCGUGAGAAACCAACAGCUGCGGAAAAGGGGAUCCCUGCUCCCACCCCCACACGGAGAGGUGAGUCAGGGAAUCACGGCCGCACUCAGCACAAUCGACAAUGACUCAGCCGCUCUGUCAGCUCAGGGGCUGUGUCUUUCUGACCUCCCGAGCUCCUGGCGUCUGUGCGCGCCUGGAGGACUGCUCUUCCGCUGCCGUGUGGCCUUGAGCUUUAUAAAUGAUCCGCUCUCCAAAGGCUUUGACAGACCAUUAGGAUCGAAGAAAUCGGACAUCACUUCACCCUGUUGUCCAGUCCUGGGCACGCGUGUAACUUUCAAUGACGCAUCGGCACAAUGGGUUCGAGCUCCCCAUCGGGCUCCAGCCUUGAGUUCAGAGCUCAAUGCUAGCGUGGCUUGACCAGAAAGCUCUCAGCGUGGCAGCCAGGCCCCUAAGCAGCCACACCCUUCCAUUCUGAGUGAGUGUGAGCCGUGCCCGGGAGGCGCUGAGGGGCUGUGGGCUGGUUUAGGUGCGUCAGGACUCACCCGGCCCCAGACGGCCCGGUCACAGACCCCAUGGCAGAUACGAAUAGCAGCGGACGAUUUUCAUUGCUCAGGUCCAUUUCGGAUGAAUGAGAACGUCGCCUUCUGGUCUUCAUCCACAAAGAGGCUCCCUUUGCAUAUUCAUUUAAUGUUAAAUUGAUGGAUUAAAUUAUACCAAGUUCAAAAUCAAUCCUGCAUAUAUUCAUUAGAAAGGACGAAAUCCCCCAGUGGGGACAGAGCACAGAAAAUGCAUUUAGAGACACUGAUAAGUCCAGGCCCAUUAUAUGUCAUUUUAAACAAAGAGCAGAAAAAAAGCCCUUUGGAGACGCUCUAUCAGCUAUUAAACAGAGAUGCCGCGUGCUCUGGGAGAUUGAUGGCUGGUGUCUCCAUCCUCCACACAGCUCUCCCUGGGCUGACGAUAACAAGGGGACACUUCUCGUGUCUCUGUCGCAGUUCACAGGCAAACAGACGCCACAGCACUGGUCCUUCCUUUUGUCUCUCCCGGGGUGCAGUCAGUUCACAAGUGCCAAAGUGCCAGGCACAGAACUCCUGCCACGUGCCAGCACAGCAGGCCGACUCUGCAGUGUUGGAGACCACCUCUCCAUCUCCUGAACCGGAGGCGAGUCCCCAGAGCCCAGGAGGGGCACACAGGGCCACGUCGGGAGAAGAGAGUGACCCCAGCCACCAUUGCACUCUGGGUUUUCGUGGGACGCAUUAGUUCUUGGUUAUCAGCUCUGGUGGGGAAAAUACUCCAGACAGGCCCUCCUGUGGUUUUUAUUUCUCUUCAACCUUGUGGAUUUUUCCACUGCCCCGCUUUAGCACUGCUCCCCUCCCCCCAUCUUCCCAGGCUUCCUCCUACCCACGCUGAUGGUAGCCAGAGGGAGCAGAAGAUGCAGCCACGCUUAGGGCGAUGAGCAGGCCUUGGAGAGGGCAGGGCCAGCGGCCCUGGAGCAUUUUCCAUUUCUCCCCCGUCCCAGCUUUCAUCCCAUAAAUGUUCAGUUCUCUCUACAAACACAAAGCUUUUACUUUUUACUUAGUCUACUAGUUGGCCCGAGUAACAUUUAUGAAG